rnacentral:lncRNA from 1 species
AAUUGUUUUAAAAAGAAAAUACUCAUGGAGUAGAUAAGACAAAAGAAUCUAGAAAUAGAGAAGCUGGCAGUGACCAUAGCUGUUAAUAGCAAACCCCUUCCCACUUGAGAAGAGGAUGUCGUGGCACUUUGGGCCCCUGGAACUGGACAAGACCUCAAGAAAGGAAGGGUUGAAUCGUUAUAAAAACCCAGCUUCUGUUCUUAUGGAUGGUCUCUCGUGAUUUGUGAGAAACUUUCACUUCGGUUCUCAGCAUUAUUUAAUCUUGGCUACAGUCCAGUGAUGAACAUCUUGAGAUAUUCAUGAGGAUGAAAGCUGAAUUCAGUGCAAAAUAAUUUAACCCUUUGUGGCCCUCUGUCUUUCAAAUCCAGUAUCGAUGGGGACCUGGUUCUUUUCCACUGUCAGCAUCCCGAGAGAGAGGCAGUGACCACGGAAGAGCUUCUAUGUAUUUCUCUCUUUGUGGAAGUGAACCCACAAAGGAAAGAAUCCUUUUGUAUAGCCAGGGCCUAACAUUAUCAUUAUGUAGUUGAAAAGUUCUUGAAUGAAUAAGAUAAAUGAAUAAAUGAAUGAAUAAAUGAAUCUCCAGACCAAACCUAGAGAUUUUAUGAGCAGAAUCAAAAGCGUAAUUGUUGAGGACCUUUUGUUGGAAACAUCAGUGCUAUUUUGCUAAGCUCUGAAAUGCUUAAACUAUUAUGUAAUAAAAAUGAUCCUUCUCAAAAAUGGUGAUGUUUUGGAAAAAAGUGAAGUGUGUAUUCCUUGCUGGUGGUGUUAUCAAUUGAUAAAUCCUUUCAAAGCUAUGGCUCUCUAUAGGAAAACCACAGAGAUUCAUGUCCAUUGCCUUAGAAAUCUUCUCUUUUGCAAACACUUGAACACUCUAGAAGAAGCUAAACAUAAACAUUUUCAUUAUACUCUUUUUUUUUUUUGGUACUGGGUAUCAAACUUGGUACACUGCGCUUGUGAGGCAGGCGACGACGGCACCACUGAGCUAAAUCCUCGGCCCAUAUUACAAUCAAUUUUGAC